rnacentral:rRNA from 1 species
GACAGAGGCCCCAAGCGUUAGGCGGAAUCACUGGGCUUAAAGCGUGUGUAGGUGGAUGCCUAAGUACCUUGUGAAAUCCCACAGCUUAACUGUGGAACUGCUUGGUAUACUGGGUGUCUUGAGUCACUCAGGGGCGAGCGGAACAAAUGGUGGAGCGGUGAAAUGCGUAGAUAUCAUUUGGAACGCCAAUGGUGAAAACAGCUCGCUGGGGGUGCACUGACACUGAGACACGAAAGCCAGGGGAGCGAACGGG